UCCUUCUUAGCUCAGUUGGUAGAGCGCGUCACUAGUAAUCUAAUUACGUAAUGACGAGGUCAGUCGUUCAAGUCGGCUAGAAGGAA